rnacentral:rRNA from 1 species
GAUGAACGCUGGCGGUAUGCCUAACACAUGCAAGUCGUACGAGAGUUUUUAACUCUAGUGGCGGACGGGUGAGUAACACGUGAGAAUUUGCCUUUAGAGGGGGAUAACAAUUGGAAACGAAUGCUAAUACCCCAUAUGCUUUUGAGUGAAAUGGAUUUUAUCCGCCUAGAGAGAAGCUCGCGGCUGAUUAGCUUGUUGGUAAGGUAAGAGCUUACCAAGGCGACGAUCAGUAUCUGGUUUGAGAGGAUGAUCAGCCACACUGGGACUGAGACACGGUCCAGACUCCUACGGGAGGCAGCAGUGGGGAAUUUUCCGCAAUGGGCGAAAGCCUGACGGAGCAAUACCGCGUGAGGGAUGACGGCCUAUGGGUUGUAAACCUCUUUUUUCAGGGAGGAACAAAAUGACGUGUACCUGAAGAAUAAGCAUCGGCUAACUCCGUG